UACAGAGGUCUCAAGCGUUGUUCGGAUUCAUUGGGCGUAAAGGGUGUGUAGGUGGCGCCGUAAGUCGGGUGUGAAAUUUCGGAGCUUAACUGCGAAACUGCAUUCGAUACUGCGGUGCUUGAGGACUGGAGAGGAGACUGGAAUUCAUGGUGUAGCAGUGAAAUGCGUAGAGAUCAUGAGGAAGACCAGUGGCGAAGGCGGGUCUCUGGACAGUUCCUGACACUGAGACACGAAGGCCAGGGGAGCAAACGGG
rnacentral:rRNA from 1 species